rnacentral:rRNA from 1 species
UACAGAGGGGGCAAGCGUUGUUCGGAAUUACUGGGCGUAAAGGGCGCGUAGGCGGCCUGUUAAGUCGAACGUGAAAUCCCCGGGCUCAACCCGGGAACUGCGUCCGAUACUGGCAGGCUUGAAUCCGGGAGAGGGAUGCGGAAUUCCAGGUGUAGCGGUGAAAUGCGUAGAUAUCUGGAGGAACACCGGUGGCGAAGGCGGCAUCCUGGACCGAGAUUGACGCUGAUGCGCGAAAGCCAGGGGAGCAAACGGG